AUUGAACGCUGGCGGCAGGCUUAACACAUGCAAGUCGAACGAGUAGCGGACGGGUGAGUAGUGCUUGGGAAUCUAGCUGAUGUCGGUGGAUAACUACGGGAAACUGUCGCUAAUACCGCGUACCAUAGGAUGAGCCCAAGGGGGAUUAGGUAGUUGGUGAGGUAAAGGCUCACAAGGCCGACGAGCUCUAGCUGGGCUGAGAGGAUGACCAGCGAAACGGGGAAUGAGACACGGCCGAGACUCCUACGGGAGGCAGCAGUGGGGAAUAUGGCGCAAUGGGGGCAACCUGACGAAGCCAUGCCGCGGGAAUGAAGAAGGCGUUCGGGUUGUAAAGUUCUUUCGGUAGCGAGGCGUUAACUACAGAAGAAGCACCGGCUAACUCCGUGCCAGCAGCCGCGGUAAUAC
rnacentral:rRNA from 1 species